UACGUAGGGUGCGAGCGUUAAUUGGAAUUACUGGGCGUAAAGCGUGCGCAGGCGGCGCGUUAAGACAGGUGUGAAAGCCCCGAGCUUAACUUGGGAAUUGCGCUUGUGACUGGCGUGCUGGAGUGUGGCAGAGGGAGGUGGAAUUCCACGUGUAGCAGUGAAAUGCGUAGAGAUGUGGAGGAACACCGAUGGCGAAGGCGGUUCUCUGGGACGGUACUGACGCUGAGACGCGAAAGCGUGGGGAGCGAACAGG
rnacentral:rRNA from 1 species